AGAGUUUGGGGCCACAGCAGAAGUGCUCACAGUGUGGCCAUGUCAGAUGCCAGCGAAUCUUUGAAUUCUUCU
rnacentral:ribozyme from 1 species